CAAUAGCGUAUAUUAAAGUUGUUGCAGUUAAAAAGCUCGUAGUUGGAUUUCUGAAUUGAAUAUCCGGUCCGCUCGUCUCUGAUGAGUGCGUACUUAUGGAUAUUGGAUUCAUUUUUUGUGAGGACAUUUAUCUGUCAUUAAGUUGAUGGAUUUAUAGACUUGCAUCGUUUACUGUGAAAAAAUUAGAGUGUUUAAAGCAGGCGUUCGCCCAUUUGAAUACAUUAGCAUGGAAUAAUAAGAUAUGACUUUGGUGGUCUAUUUUGUUGGUUUGCACACCAGAGUAAUGAUUAAUAGGGACAGUUGGGGGCAUUCAUAUUUCAACGUCAGAGGUGAAAUUCUUAGAUCGUUGAAAGAUGACCUUAGGCGAAAGCAUUUACCAUGGAUGUUUUCAUUA
rnacentral:rRNA from 1 species